AACGAACGCUGGCGGCAGGCUUAACACAUGCAAGUCGAGCGCCCCGCAAGGGGAGCGGCAGACGGGUGAGUAACGCGUGGGAAUCUACCCAUCUCUACGGAAUAACGCAUGGAAACGUGUGCUAAUACCGUAUACGUCCUUCGGGAGAAAGAUUUAUCGGAGAUGGAUGAGCCCGCGUUGGAUUAGCUAGUUGGUGGGGUAAAGGCCUACCAAGGCGACGAUCCAUAGCUGGUCUGAGAGGAUGAUCAGCCACACUGGGACUGAGACACGGUCCAGACUCCUACGGGAGGCAGCAGUGGGGAAUCUUCCGCAAUGGACGAAAGUCUGACGGGGCGACGCCGCGUGAGUGAAGAAGGCCUUCGGGUUGUAAAGCUCUGUUAUUCGGGAAGA
rnacentral:rRNA from 2 species